UACGUAGGUGGCAAGCGUUGUCCGGAUUUACUGGGCGUAAAGAGCGCGCAGGCGGUCGUUCAAGUCGCGUGUGAAAGCCCCCGGCUCAACUGGGGAGGGUCAUUCGAUACUGAUCGACUGGAAGGCAGGAGAGGGAAGCGGAAUUCCCGGUGUAGUGGUGAAAUGCGUAGAUAUCGGGAGGAACACCAGUGGCGAAGGCGGCUUCCUGGCCUGUUCUUGACGCUGAGGCGCGAAAGCUAGGGGAGCAAACGGGG
rnacentral:rRNA from 1 species